GAAGCGCAAUGUUCGGAUCGCAGCCGGUUUCAGUUAGUCAGUGGGCUUCAAUGGUUGCAGUUGUUGCGUAUGCGUAGAGUAGUUCCUCGACUGCUGUUCGUCUCGCUUGUGUCAGCAGCAGUAGCAGCAGCCUCUUUCACGGGAUACUCGAUACUCGGUUGUGCGGCGUGGAAAAAAAACCGUUAAUUGUAUUGGCGUGUUUACGUUUUUUUUUGUCUUGUGUUGACUUUCGCUUCAUAUGCAGAGGGUUGAAAACUCAUGGGCCCAACGGAAUAAUAGGAAGCAGUAGAAAACGUCAUAGUGAAGAGUGAAUUUAUGCGAUAAAGAUUUUCCUCCUGCGACGUGUCCUAGAGCAUCAUGACAUACACGUGAUGGAAACAGAAAGCGGUGUUGGUGAUCCUCCGCACGGAUUGAGAGGAUUUCUUACAACGAGAUCAGCAUCAAUGACUAUUCUAUCGCCCCAGAGAAAAUCACACCAGCAUAGUCAACAGCAACAGCAGCCGAGGGUCUCCCAAUUAGAGACACUCGAAGCAAAGAUGGCGAGUAUAGAAGUUUCACUGAGUGCUGCCACACCACGACGCCGCAAGGGUAGUUCAUUGGGAGGGUGUUCCCUCUCGGCGCGAUCAUCGCCGCGUCCAGAUUCGGCUCCUGGGAAGGAGCUUCGAUCAGCUUUACAGGAUCGGGAAGCGGUCAUACAAAACUUACGACUGCAGCUUGGUUUGGGAAAACUACCUCGACCAACAGGGCCAGCGUUUGACGAUGCGGAACGACCGGCAGCCGCACAGAGGCUUAUGAACAUACGUUCUGAGGUGGAAAAUAAGAAGCUGGUUAUCACUAAUCUCAAGGGGGCAUUGGAUAAACUAGACAUAACAGACAAUAUUGAUGUACGGAUAAAACAAGCCGAGUUGGAAUAUGCCUUAGGUCGGGAAGAGCUGCAAUUGCUAUCACUGGUGGAAGAAGCGCGUGCACUUCAGGCACGGCUGGACAAAUCUAAACCGGGAACAAAUUCCCUCUUUGGAAUGCUCCGAUCUGGAAUCAAUCUCACGCUGCAUGCAGUCCAAACUACUCCCGGUCGAUGGAAUGCCAGCAUGAAAAGUGACGUUCCAGGCUUCUGGGUGGACUGGGCAUUGGAUAGUGAAGGAUUACAACGUGGAGAUCGCAUCAUCGAGGUUAAUGGAUGCAUAGUCCCUGGAAAAACACGGGAAGAAUUACAAAAGUUGAUGAACUCUACAGAAAAAUGUGAAAUGGUUGUUCUAAGGAGGAAAGCUUUGGCAUUCUCGCAACAACAAUUGCGUCAAUCGCAGGCGGAUAACGUUCGAUUGCAGCACCGAAUAUCCUAUCUUGAAGAACAGGUAAAGGAGAUGUUGUCUACUCGGGAUAAUCAUACAGAUAGUGGCAGUUCUCAAGCUAGCAUCGUAAAUGGCAAUGGCGGAGCACAUGUCACUUCAAUAAGUAUAACGUCGCCUCCUUCAACGCCACCUGAACAUAAACCCCAAACGUAUCAGCGUGGAGCAUUUGUGACGACAAUUAUCGAUGGUAAACCUUCUAAAAACCCACUGUCUGGCGAGAGCCCAAAGUUACACCACGGUCAUGUGACCACAACAACCAUCAUAAAAGAAUGUGAUAAAAUCAAUGGUGAACUGACAAGUGGAAACGUGCUAAAGCAUAACAUCAGAAACUCGAUGUCAACUUCAAAAGUUUCCAUUGGUAACGACGUAAGUAAUAGUAUUGCGUUAUAUUAUCAGAAAAAGGAACGUGAUAAACGGGAACGGGAAGCGCGAAGGUUAGAGCGGGAAAGGUAUAUACAGCAAUGCGGCUCAAAGCUACAAAAAAGUACUAAUGAUCUAGAUAGUGAUUCUGAUCGACGCCAUCUGCACAACCAUCGGAAUUAUACACGAAGUUAUGAACAUCUCAACGGAAUGUCGGAAAAACGCAAAUUAGUACUCCCUAGUGAAUCGAACUCGAAACGAGAAAUUAGAAACGUGAAAACUCUUGACUUUGAAAGUGAUACGAAUGAACAGUACGCCUCGGAACCAUCUGGCCCUAACAAAAUAAGACCAGCACCACCAAAGAAGCCACUGCGGUUAUCGCUGCAACGGGCACAAAGCCUUCAGACCGUGGAAGGAAUUUUGGCCGAUACACCAAAUGAUAAGAAGCGGGGUAUGAAACGAUCCCAUCGUAGCGUUCGUUAGUCGAAAAUACUGAAUAAUUAAACAAACCAAAUGUCAUCACUGGUGGUUCUUUUUUCCACUCCGCUAAACUGUCAUCUCAAACAAAAACAAAUGGAUCAUACAACUGCUAUGAAUACAUUCGACUCGUUUGCUUCCAUCAAUCGGUAAGUGAGAAAGAUGAUUUCUCCCAUCACCACAGUGCGGAUUUCCACUUCUAUCACAGCAGCCAACAACAUCCGUUUUCCUGCAGCAGUAACCUCCAACCCCUGUUGGCAAUGCCGGGGGACAGCAUCAACAGCAGCAACAGCAGAAUUUGACCAUGGUAUGGUAUCGCGAAGAACUUUCCCCAUUAGAGGUUCCGUGCUUCGCGCACAUUCAAAAAUCCUCUUCAGAUACGAAAACUCAACGACAAGGAGAUAUUUAUCAACUUGCUCAGCUGAAUUACCACCCCGGAGGAACCCGAAUGCACUGAUUCCGUAGUAUAGUAGAAUGAAAAUAGGCGAGGUUAGCGAACGUAAUCGCAUGAUAUUUUAAUGUUCGCAUUUUUAUCCGGAUCAUACAACUGCUAUGAAUACAUCCGACUCAAUCAAUCGGCGAAUGAGAAAGAUGAUUUCCCUCAUCACCACAUUGCUUAUUUCCACUUCUGUCACACCAGCCAACAGCAUCAGCUUUCCCGCAGCAGUAUACUUUAAGUCCAGGGUGCUAUUCCGGGGAACAGCAACAGCAGCAGGACCUGGCCAUCGAUAGUAUUUCGAGCAAUUUUCCCCAUCGGAGAUCUCGUGCUUCACGCACAUUGAAGAAUCCUCCUCAGCCACAUAUCUGUGUCAUCAAGGGCAAGGAGGUAUUCAUCAAUGUACUCAGUCGGAUUUGAAUCGUCAAUCCAGACAACCCGGAUGCACCGAUUCCAUUAUAUACCUUAUUUUUAUUAUACAUGGAUCUUUAUUAUUAUUU